UCGACUAGCAUGCGAGUCAGGUGUCUUCGGACGCCGGCAUACGGCUCAGUAACACGUAGGUAACCUACCCUCAGGACUGAGAUAACCCCGGGAAACUGGGGCUAAUAUUAGAUAGAUAAAAGAUACUGGAAUAUUCUUUUAUCCAAAGCUUUUGCGCCUGAGGAUGGGCCUGCGUCCGAUUAGGUUGUUGGUGGGGUAAUGGCCCACCAAGCCUGCGAUCGGUACGGGCAGUGGGAGCUGAAGCCCGGAGUUGGGGACUGAGACAAGGCCCCAGGCCCUACGGGGCGCAGCAGGCGCGAAACCUCUGCAAUGCGGGAAACCGUGACAGGGGGAUCCCAAGUGCUCAAGCAUUGCAUGGGCUGUUCUUUGGUCUAAGUAACCAGAGGAGU
rnacentral:rRNA from 1 species